rnacentral:misc_RNA from 1 species
UUUUUUUUUCUUAAAAAAAAAAGACCUUUUUCCAUUAAUAUAUUAAUAUUUGAGGACAGAAGCUAAUUACCAUGAGUCCCUGCAGAGUGAAAUAAAACCAUGAAUUAAAAUUAACUAGUGCUUUCAGACUGUAGAGGGAAAGAAAACCAUGAUAUGCAGAUAACUUUGGCAUCUAUCAAAAUUUUCCUAGAAAAGAAACAUAGCACAAUAUCUUUGGCAUCCAUCAAAAUUUUCCUAGAAAAGAAACAUAGCACAAUAUCUUUGGCAUCC